rnacentral:lncRNA from 1 species
CUAUAUUUUUCCCUUCCUUCAGAUUCAAAGUGGCCAGCUGUUCAGAUGUUGGAGUGGUUAACAUUAUUUUCUUCUUAGAAAUCCUUGGCCUGGACACAUCUUUUUCUCUGUCACCACCUGUGUUAUUUGAAAUACUUUUAGCAUCAGAAUUUACAUCUACAUGCGCGGACGAGCCAGAACUUCUCUGGCUUUUUGAUCUCUUAAAAGAAAAAGACCACGAUCUCCAGCUCGCACAUCUUUUUCUCUGUCACCACCUUUGUUAUUUGAAAUACUUUUAGCAUCAGAAUUUACAUCUUCAUCCGCGGACGAGCCAGAACUUUUCUGGCUUUUUGAUCUCUUAAAAGGAAAAGACCACGAUCUCCAGCUCCUACUUGAUAAAUUAUUGGAUCUGGCAUCUCUU